rnacentral:rRNA from 1 species
AUUGAACGCUGGCGGCGUGCCUAACACAUGCAAGUCGAGCGGUAACAGGUGUAGCAAUACAUGCUGACGAGCGGCGAACGGGUGAGUAAUGCUUCGGAAUCUGCCCAUGUAGUGGGGAAUAACCAGCCGAAAGGUUGGCUAAUACCGCAUACGACCUACGGGUGAAAGCAGGGGAUCGCAAGACCUUGCGCUAUUGGAUGAGCCGAAGUCGGAUAGCUUGUUGGUGAGGUAACGGCUCACCAAGGCGACGAUCCGUAGCUGGUCUGAGAGGACGACCAGCCACACUGGGACUGAGACACGGCCCAGACUCCUACGGGAGGCAGCAGUGGGGGAAUAUUGGACAAGUGGGGCAACCCUGAUCCAGCGACGCCGCGUGUGUG